CAUUCAUCCUCUUUCUUUUAAUUCCAUAUUCAAAGAAGAAACUCUUGGCUCUGCUAGGUUUUUUUGCCUUUUUUACUCGCGUUGCUUGUUCUCUGUUCCUUUCCAUCUGGGCAGUUCCUCGUUCUCUCCUGCACCGUGCUUGUUCUCUAAUUCUCGACGCCACAACACGCUUCUGCCGCCGCCGCUACACUCGGGGAGAUGGGAGGCCAUUUUGAAAACUUGUAGUUUCUGAAGCCGUUGGUUGGCGGUUGCAGUGAUGAAGAUUAUUUUGAUAUUGUGCAAAUGAAGAUGCGUGGCAUCUUUCAGAUGGAGCUUAUGAAACAACUACUCUUCUCAAGUAUGUCGGAGGUCUCACGAAUCAAAUAUAUCUUUUUUCUCCUUAACCAUUGUUUUCUUUUAAGUUUGUCCCUCCUAACAUAGCAACAUGAUAAACACUGGCACAGUUAAAAUAACUGUUGUAUCCAACUUUGAUUCCCGCUUAAGGAAACUAUUGAAGGGUCUUAAUGUUUUGAAUCUGUGAGCUUUUGUAGUCCCUUCAAUAUGCGUUUACUUAACUCAUGCAUAUUUGAGGAAUUUAUUGAAAUCUUUGCAUAAUGUUUAUGCGAACUUGCUUGUUGAACCUCUCUUAAUUUGCUCAAA